rnacentral:rRNA from 1 species
AAAACAUAGCCCUAGAAAAAAUCUAAGGUGUAACCUGCCCAGUGGUUUUAAUUUAUAAUCUAAUAUAUUAAAAAUAAAACUAAAAGGACGCGGUAACCUUGACCGUGAUAAUGUAGCAUAAUCACUCGCCAUUUAAUUGAUGGAUAGUAUGAAUGGUUGAACGAAUAUUCCACUGUCUUAAGAAGAAUUAAAAGAAAUUGAAAUAAUAGUUAAGAUGCUAUUUUAAACUGUAAGACGAAAAGACCCUAUAGAGCUUAACUAUAAUCUCUUUAUUCUUAAAUAAAAAAAACUUUAUUUCAUAAAGAGAUUGGUAGUUUAGUUGGGGCGACUAUCUUCUAAAAAUAACGAAGAUAAGCAACGUUAACAAAAAACUUAUUGUAUAAUAAAAAUAUUUAACAAUUAUAAAAAUAGGCUAUAGUGACCCGUUAAUUCAGAAAAAUAUGAUUAACGAUCAAUUAAUAAAAGCUACCUUAGGGAUAACAGGAUAAUUUCAUUUUAGAGUUCCCAUCGAAAAUGAAGUUUGUCACCUCUAUGUUGAAUUAAGAUAUCCUGGUAAUGCAGAAG